CUCGCUCAGACCCGAAGAGGAAUCGGCGCCGAGCGGCACUCCGAUCGAUCCUGGGUGUGGCUUCGCCACAGACAAAUCCACACCCGGACCAGCUCAAGAGUGGAAUGGCCAGAACGUCUGCCUCUGAAAGCAACAGGCUUCUGGGGAAAGCGACGGCUCUCGUGAGGGAAGGAAAGGUUGAACCCAAGGGGAAAUGGAGGUUCGAAUUCUGUUUGCCAAUGGACCUCAGCAAUCCGAGCACUGUGCUGAGCACAAAUAUGUUCCACUGUACUCUCCAAAGUGCUUAGGGCAGCCCUCUGCACAAGGACUCCAAAGGCACGGAUGAUGUACGACGGCACCUGGAGAACGGCUAGAGAUUAAUUUUUGGAGCCCUGUAAUAUACCCUUCUGAGGCUUAACUGAAUUCUGGAGCAAACUUAGUAGCCCUAAUUAUCCGCAGUUGCAAGUGAUUAAAAAACACAAAUCACCGGGAGCCGAAAUCGAUGGAGGCAAUGAAAAGCAGCCUCUACAUCUCUGACUAUUUAAGUUGCUAAAUUCUCCAUUUGUUUCUUUGAUGCGGCAGCUCGAUGCAUUGUGUUCCUGAGACACUUCCUCAUAACAAGAAACAUAUGAGACAAAUUAAAUAUUGAUGUUCACCGUGGUGGAGUUACAAUAUUUCACGGGCUUUCGCGGGAGAGGCACAAUGUUCCCGGUUGCCAGUGCUUGGGUGGAAG
rnacentral:lncRNA from 1 species